AUUGAACGCUGGCGGUAUGCUUAACACAUGCAAGUCGAACGGCAGCACGAGGAGCUUGCUCCUUGGUGGCGAGUGGCGGACGGGUGAGUAAUGUGUAGGAAUCUAUCUUUUGGUUUGGGAUAACUUGGGGAAACUCAAGCUAAUACCGAAUGAUACUUACGAGUCAAAGCGGGGGACCUUCGGGCCUCGCGCCGAAAGAUGAGCCUACAUGGGAUUAGCUUGUUGGUGAGGUAAAGGCUCACCAAGGCGACGAUCUCUAGCUGGUCUGAGAGGACGAUCAGCCACACUGGGACUGAGACACGGCCCAG
rnacentral:rRNA from 1 species